UACGGAGGGGGUUAGCGUUGUUCGGAAUUACUGGGCUUAAAGAGCUCGUAGGUGGUUAGAAAAGUUGGUAGUGAAAUCCCAAGGCUUAACCUUGGAACUGCUAUCAAAACUUUUUAGCUAGAGUAUGAUAGAGGUAAGUGGAAUUUCUAGUGUAGAGGUGAAAUUCGUAGAUAUUAGAAAGAACACCAAUUGCGAAGGCAACUUUCUGGAUCAUUACUGACACUGAGGAGCGAAAGCAUGGGUAGCGAAGAGG
rnacentral:rRNA from 1 species